UACGUAGGGUGCAAGCGUUGUCCGGAAUUAUUGGGCGUAAAGAGCGUGUAGGCGGCCCGAUUAGUCCGCUGUGAAAGUCCAGGGCUCAACCCUGGAAUGCCGGUGGAUACUGUCGGGCUAGAGUCCGGAAGAGGAGAGUGGAAUUCCCGGUGUAGCGGUGAAAUGCGCAGAUAUCGGGAAGAACACCCGUGGCGAAGGCGGCUCUCUGGAACGGUACUGACGCUGAGACGCGAAAGCGUGGGGAGCGAACAGG
rnacentral:rRNA from 1 species